rnacentral:lncRNA from 1 species
CAUAAGAUGGGAUCUGCUUAAUGGCAUCUAAUAAAGGAAUAUUAAUCUUUACUUGUUUAAAGAUUUCCAGAAUUUCUUGGUCAGGUAUUCCCUUUUUAGCUGCAAGCAAGCGCUGAGGAAAUGGAGCAACUAUCUUGUGAUGCAGUAUUGGAUCAUCUUGUUCAUUAUCAUCUUCAUCCUUCUUUCCAAUAGAUUUUUCAGGUUUGUCAUCUUUUGUCG